UGAGUAGGCGGCUUCAUAAGUCAUAUGUGAAAGCCUGGUGCUUAACAUCAGGAUUGCAUAAGAAACUAUGAGGCUAGAGUAUGGGAGAGGUAAGCGGAAUUCCUAGUGUAGCGGUGAAAUGCGUAGAUAUUAGGAAGAACACCGGUGGCGAAGGCGGCUUACUGGACCAAGACUGACGCUGAGGCACGAAAGCGUGGGGAGCGAACAGGAUUAGAUACCCUGGUAGUCCACGCUGUAAACGAUGAUUGCUAGGUGUCGGGGUGAGAGCCUCGGUGCCGCAGCUAACGCAAUAAGCAAUCCGCCUGGGGAGUACGUUCGCAAGAAUGAA
rnacentral:rRNA from 1 species